GUAGGUGGCAAGCGUUGUCCGGAAUUAUUGGGCGUAAAGCGCGCGCAGGCGGUUCUUUAAGUCUGAUGUGAAAGCCCACGGCUCAACCGUAGAGGGUCAUUGGAAACUGGAGAACUUGAGUACAGAAGAGGAAAGCGGAAUUCCACGUGUAGCGGUGAAAUGCGUAGAGAUGUGGAGGAACACCAGUGGCGAAGGCGGCUUUCUGGUCUGUAACUGACGCUGAGGCGCGAAAGCGUGGGGAGCAAACAGGAUUAGAUACCCUGGUAGUCCACGCCGUAAACGAUGAGUGCUAAGUGUUAGGGGGUUUCCGCCCCCCUUAGUGCUGCAGCUAACGCAUUAAGCACUCCGCCUGGGAGUACGGCCGCAAGGCUG
rnacentral:rRNA from 1 species